UUGCAUCUGGGGCCAGUGAGGAUGAGAACCUCCGGGGGCAGGAGGUUCGACUCGAGCGAAGCGAGAGAACGUUGCGUCAGCAACCGCAGGGCGAACCACGAAGUGGUGAGUCAUCCUCUAUCACCGACCA
rnacentral:sRNA from 1 species